GGGGAAUUUUGGACAAUGGACGCAAGUCUGAUCCAGCCAUUCCGCGUGCAGGAUGAAGGCCCUCGGGUUGUAAACUGCUUUUGUACGGAACGAAAAGGUUUCCAUUAAUACUGGGAGCUCAUGACGGUACCGUAAGAAUAAGCACCGGCUAACUACGUGCCAGCAGCCGCGGUAAUACGUAGGGUGCAAGCGUUAAUCGGAAUUACUGGGCGUAAAACGUGCGCAGGCGGUUAUGUAAGACAGAGGUGAAAUCCCCGGGCUCAACCUGGGAACUGCCUUUGUGACUGCAUAGCUAGAGUACGGUAGAGGGGGAUGGAAUUCCGCGUGUAGCAGUGAAAUGCGUAGAUAUGCGGAGGAACACCGAUGGCGAAGGCAAUCCCCUGGACCUGUACUGACGCUCAUGCACGAAAGCGUGGGGAGCAAAC
rnacentral:rRNA from 1 species